rnacentral:tRNA from 2 species
UAGGCUGAAGCCCGCUGGAUAGGGUGUUUAGUUGUUAAUUAAAAUGUUACGGGAUCAAGGCCCGUCGGUCUAG